UAUGAAGGGGGCGAGCGUUGUUCGGAAUUACUGGGCGUAAAGGGCGCGCAGGCGGCUCUGAAAGUCAGAUGUGAAAGCCCCGGGCUUAACCUGGGAAUUGCAUUUGAUACUCUGGAGCUUGAGUACGGGAGAGGAGAGUGGAAUUCCCAGUGUAGAGGUGAAAUUCGUAGAUAUUGGGAAGAACACCGGUGGCGAAGGCGGCUCUCUGGACCGUAACUGACGCUGAGGCGCGAAAGCGUGGGGAGCAAACAGG
rnacentral:rRNA from 1 species